GGAUCAGUAGGUUGGUCGUGCCACCGGUACGUACUGGUCUCACUGAUUCCUCCUUCCUGAAGAACCGUAAUGCCAUUAAUUUGGUGUUGCGGGGAAACAGGACUGUUACUUUGAAAAAAUUAGAGUGUUUAACGCAAGCUAACGCUUGAAUACAUUAGCAUGGAAUAAUGAAAUAGGACGAUCGAUCCUAUUUUGUUGGUUUCUAGGAUUGACGUA
rnacentral:rRNA from 1 species